rnacentral:rRNA from 1 species
UACGUAGGGUGCGAGCGUUGUUCGGAAUUACUGGGCGUAAAGCGUGCGUAGGCGGUGCCUCAAGUUUGGUGUGAAAUCUCCCGGCUCAACCGGGAGGGUGCGCCGAAAACUGAGGUGCUCGAGUGUGGGAGAGGUAAGCGGAAUUCCUGGUGUAGCGGUGAAAUGCGUAGAUAUCAGGAGGAACACCGGCGGUGUAGACGGCUUACUGGACCAUAACUGACGCUGAGGCACGAAAGUGUGGGGAGCAAACAGG